rnacentral:rRNA from 1 species
CCCUAGUAUGAAAAAUUUAAUAGGAUUAUUAUUAUGUUAAGAAAUUUAAAAUUUUUGGCGGUUGAUUAUUAUGUUAGAGGAGCUUGUUUUUCAAUAGAAAUUACUCUUUAUAUUUUAUUAAUUUUUGUUUAUAUAUCUCCGUUAUUAGGUGAAACUUUAUAAGCUUUAGUUUAUAUUUCAGGUCAAGAUGUAGCAAUAAUUAAAAAAAAUUAGCUACAGUAAUAAAAUUAUGGAUUGAUAAAAGAAUUAAAUUUUUGUGAAAUUGAAUUUAAUUGUAAUUUAAUUUAUAAUAAUUAAAUGAAAUUUAUGUAAUUUAUGUA